rnacentral:lncRNA from 1 species
AUUUGAACACGGAGAAUGACUAAUUGCUUAAGUGUUCAUAUUAGGGUCACACAAUCAAUUACCUCCUGAAUGUAUUGUCUCUAUUUCUAAUAUCUGAAUACACAAGGAAACUAUAAUCUCUUCCUUCACCUUAUCGGUCUCUUCUUUACAAUAAUUCAGUUAUACCAAUAACUGUUAUUUCCACCAAUAUAUUCACCCUCAUAAUCUCCAACUGUAAUACUGCGCCCUCACAACUUUCAGCAUACAAUUAUCCUCAUUCCAAUCACUGGAAUUCUUCACACAGAACUGCCAUUCACAUUACGGUAUUUCACACAAACAUAGACUCAUUCUCUCUACUGAACUACAAUCAGAUUUCAGCAUUCAAACUUUCUUCUUCUCAAAUAAUACCAAUCACAUUUACAUUCCAUAAUUCACUUCACAAUAUUCAGAAACUCUCAAUCCUCUUAUUCAAAGAAAAUAACAAACAAAAGAAAAGAGGUAGCACCAAGCUUACCCCGGCUCACACUAUCACAGUGAUGGCACCUUUGGCUCAUGACUAUCACAGUCUGGCAUUUUCUUCCCCUCUCCCAUCCUCCUUAUACUACCUCGAGAUACCAACUCCUAUACUACAAAUGAUAACUACUUUUCUUGCCUAUUCAUCCAUUCUACCUACUGAACCACUUUUUCAGCAGUUAUCUAU